rnacentral:rRNA from 1 species
AUAGCAUAUCAAUAAGCGGAGGAAAAGAAACUAACAAGGAUUCCCCUAGUAACGGCGAGUGAAGCGGGAAGAGCUCAAAUUUGAAAUCUGGCGGUCUCAGGCCGUCCGAGUUGUAAUCUAGAGAGGUGUUUUCCGUGCCGGACCGUGUACAAGUCCCUUGGAACAGGGCGUCAUAGAGGGUGAGAAUCCCGUCCAUGACACGGACUACCGGUGCUCUGUGAUACACCUUCAAAGAGUCGAGUUGUUUGGGAAUGCAGCUCAAAACGGGUGGUAAAUUCCAUCUAAAGCUAAAUACAGGCGAGAGACCGAUAGCGAACAAGUACCGUGAGGGAAAGAUGAAAAGAACUUUGGAAAGAGAGUUAAACAGUACGUGAAAUUGUUGAAAGGGAAACGCUUGAAGUCAGUCGCGUCUGCCAGGACUCAGCCUUGCUUCUGCUUGGUGCAUUUCUUGGUGGAUGGGCCAGCAUCGAUUUUGAUUGCCGGAAAAGGGCGGGAGGAAUGUGGCAGCUUUUGCUGUGUUAUAGCCUUCCGUCGUACACGGUGGUUGGGAUCGAGGACUGCAGCACGCCUUUGGUCGGGGUUCGCCCACGCCACGUGCUUAGGAUGCUGGCGUAAUGGCUUUAAACGACCCGUCUUGAAACACGGACCAAGGAGUCUAACAUGCCUGCGAGUGUUUGGGUGCAAAACCCAGGCGCGUAAUGAAAGUGAAAAGUUGGGACUCUUUAGUGAGGCACCGACGCCCGACCCUGAAGUCUUCUGACGGGUUUGAGGCAGAGCAUGUAUGUUGAGACCCGAAAGAUGGUGAACUAUGCCUGAAUAGGGUGAAGCCAGAGGAAACUCUGGUGGAGGCUCGUAGCGAUUCUGACGUGCAAAUCGAUCGUCAAAUUUGGGUAUAGGGGCGAAAGACUAAUCGAACCAUCUAGUAGCUGGUUCCUGCCGAGUCCCCCCCUCGAGUAUA